UACGUAGGGGGCAAGCGUUGUCCGGAUUUAUUGGGCGUAAAGAGCGUGUAGGCGGCCAGGUAGGUCUGCUGUGAAAACUCGAGGCUCAACCUCGAGAGGUCGGCGGAAACCAUCUGGCUAGAGUCCGGAAGAGGAGAAUGGAAUUCCCGGUGUAGCGGUGAAAUGCGCAGAUAUCGGGAAGAACACCCGUGGCGAAGGCGGGUCGCUGGGACGGUACUGACGCUGAGACGCGAAAGCGUGGGGAGCGAACAGG
rnacentral:rRNA from 1 species